GAUGAAGAACGUAGCGAAAUGCGAUAAGUAAUGUGAAUUGCAGAAUUCAGUGAAUCAUCGAAUCUUUGAACGCAUCUUGCGCUCCUUGGUAUUCUGAGGAGCAUGCCUGUUUGAGUGUCAUUAAAUUCUCAACUACACUGACUUUGAAUUGGUGUGGCUUGGAUUUGGGGGGAAAAUUGUUGUGGGCUUUUUGUAUAGUCUGCUCCCCUGAAAUUGAUUAGCGGUACCUUUGUGGAACUGUCUACAGGUGUGAUAAUUAUCUACAUCUUAGACAUCAGCUGGAAUGCUGCUUUCUAAACCUUACUUGUAUUGACAAUCUUGACCUCAAAUCAGGUAGGACUACCCGCUGAACUUAAGCAUAUCAAUAAGCGGAGGA
rnacentral:misc_RNA from 1 species